rnacentral:rRNA from 1 species
GCCCACGGCUCAACCGUGGAGGGUCAUUGGAAACUGGAAAACUUGAGUGCAGAAGAGGAAAGUGGAAUUCCAUGUGUAGCGGUGAAAUGCGCAGAGAUAUGGAGGAACACCAGUGGCGAAGGCGACUUUCUGGUCUGUAACUGACGCUGAUGUGCGAAAGCGUGGGGAUCAAACAGGAUUAGAUACCCUGGUAGUCCACGCCGUAAACGAUGAGUGCUAAGUGUUAGGGGGUUUCCGCCCCUUAGUGCUGCAGCUAACGCAUUAAGCACUCCGCCUGGGGAGUACGACCGCAAGGUU